rnacentral:rRNA from 1 species
AUGGCCUCGGAGCGUCGAGGACACCGUUCCAUUUCCUCGUGCAUCCUCCUCGUCGCGGUCGUCCUGCUGCUCAGCGCUCCCGGGUCAUCUGCUAGUUGCUACAAGCGCAUCUUCUCCUUCGGCGACUCCAUCAUCGACACCGGCAACUUCGUCGCUCCAAACGCGUUGAAGGAGUUCCCAUAUGGGAUGACCUUCUUCCACCACCCCACAGGCCGCGUCUGUGACGGGCGCGUCCUCCUUGAUUUCUACGCGCAAGCGCUGGGUCUGCCGCUGGUACAGCCAAGCUUGCCCGAGCAGAGAUCGGGACAAUGCACAUUCGGUGCCAACUUCGCAGUGUUUGCUGCCACGGCGUCCCCGGAGUACUUCAAAAGAUGGGGCCUUGGUAUUCCCGGGUCUGCCAACCUGGGCAUGCAGAUGGGCUGGUUCAAAGAAGUAUUACAACGGAUAGCACCAGGGCCCGGUGCGAGGAGACUCCUGGGAGAGUCUCUCAUCAUAUUGGGCGAGAUCGGUGGCAACGACUACAACUUCUGGUUACUCAACAAUAAUAAAACACGUGAAACAGCCUACCAGUUCAUCCCAGACGUAGUCAACCGCAUCAUCAGUAUUGCUCAGGAGCUCAUCGACCUCGGCGCGAAGACGAUCAUGAUCCCGGGGAACUUCCCCAUCGGGUGCGUGCCCAAGUACCUGAACGAUCACCAGACGGGUAACCGUGCAGACUACGACCAGUUCGGCUGCCUCAGGUGGUACAACGACUUCUCCAUGAGGCACAACACGGCGCUGUCCAACGAGGUCAACAGGCUCAGGGCGCGGCAUCCAUGGGUGAAGCUCAUCUACGCCGACUACUUCGGCGCCGCCAUGGAGAUCUUCAGGAACCCACACAGAUUUGGUAUCGGUGAUCCUCUGGUGGCAUGCUGCGGCGGCGGUGGCCGGUACCACGUCGGGACAUGCGACAAGCACUCCACUAUUAUGGGUUCCCCGGCUAACUGCGCCAAUUGGGACGGCAUCCACAUGACUGAGAAGGCCUACAACGUCAUCGCCGAUGGGGUGUUGCAUGGGCCGUACGCGAACCCGCCGCUGUUGCAUUCUUGCUAG